rnacentral:rRNA from 1 species
UACAGAGGGGGCGAGCGUUGUUCGGAAUUACUGGGCGUAAAGGGCGCGUAGGCGGCCUUCUAAGUCGAACGUGAAAUCCCCGGGCUCAACCCGGGAACUGCGUCCGAUACUGGGAGGCUUGAAUCCGGGAGAGGGAUGUGGAAUUCCAGGUGUAGCGGUGAAAUGCGUAGAUAUCUGGAGGAACACCGGGUGGCGAAGGCGGCAUCCUGGACCGGUAUUGACGCUGAGGCGCGAAAGCCAGGGGAGCAAAGCGGG